AGAUAAUAGAUACCCAGGUAGUCCACGCCGUAAACUAUGCUUGCUAGCUGUUAUCAGUAUCGACCCUGGUAGUAGCGAAGCUAACGCGUUAAGCAAGCCGCCUGUGGAGUACGAGCGCAAGCUUAAAACCCUAAAGGAAUUGACGGGGACCCGCACAAGCGGUGGAGCGUGUUGUUUAAUUCGACGGUAAGCGAAGAACCUUACCCAGGCUUGACAUCCUGCCAAGUUUUCCGAAAGGAAAAUGUGCCUUCGGGCCGCAGUGACAGGUGAUGCAUGGCCGUCGUCAGCUCGUGUCGUGAGAUGUUUGGUUAAGUCCAUCAACGAGCGCAACCCUUAUAGUCAGUUGAAUUUUUCUGGCUAGACUGCCCCGGUAACGGGGAGGAAGGAGGGGACGAUGUCAGGUCAUUAUUUCCCUUACGUCUGGGGCUACAAACACGCUACAAUGGCCGGUACAAAGGGCAGCUAAGUCGUGAGGCGGAGCAAAUCCCAUCAAAGCCGGUCUCAGUUCGGAUUGUAGGCUGAAACUCGCCUGCAUGAAGCUGGAA
rnacentral:rRNA from 1 species